rnacentral:lncRNA from 1 species
CGCCAGCCGGCCGCAGCAUACCAUGUCCUGCUCCAACAUUGCAGGAGGACGACAGUUCCGGGAGGAUGACAGUGAGCUGCAGGUGUAUGCCACGGUCAAACAGGGGCGAAUGCACGGAGGAGGAAGCCCUGGGACCAACCAUCGGGCCCAGGGGAGGGGAGGACAAGAGCCCAGCUACUCCGAGCUCAACCGGGGCCAUAGCCGCAGUGAAGAGGGGUUGCUGCAGAAUACAGGCACUGACAGAGGGAAAGCACGGACACCCCCACACCUGAAGCACGGAUCCCUCUACAAGACAGCCAGCCUGGGCCGUAGCCUGGCCUUCAGUGAAGAGGUCCUGGCUGGGCCAAAGAGGGCGGUGUCCUCGAUCCAGCUCCCCAGUAAAGGCAUCCUGAAAAACAAGGAGGCGCCGCCGGACAUCCGCAAGGCCAAGUCCAUGGAGGUGCUGUCUUCCCGGGUAGCAGGCAAGACAGCAGGGCCCAAGGGGAAGCAGGAUGUGGAGGCUCUGAAGGAUGCAGCCAGGCAGAGCAUGGUGAAGGGGAAGAUACAGUUCUCUGCCUUCCUGGAUGAGAUCACUAAACAGGUCAUCAGCCCCGCCCGUCUCAAUACUCUGGGGGUACCUGUCGAGACUGUAGGACCGGGUCCAGCCAAAACCCCAGCAUCCCCCAAAUCUCAACUGAAAAGUCAGCCCCAGCUUCCCUUGAAAAAGCAGGGAGAUGGGCAGGGGGAGGAGAGGGAAACGGUUACUAAACCUAGAAAACUGAGGAAUGACUCUGACACACGGUCACGGAAAAUAUCUCUCCCUACAAAGUUUGGGUAUGAAAGCAAGAACCACACUCCUUGUCUAGGCAGCCCCCCAACCCACCACUCCAGCCAACCCUACCCGCCCCACCCACCGGCUGGCUAUGAAGACCAACCAGCCUCCCUGCCUGACUUCCAGGGUCCUGUCGGUAAUAGGCAUGGGCGGUAUGGCUCCCUUCUUACAGACGGCACUGUCAGCUCCAGCCCUGAGCCCAGCCAUCACAAACACCGUAGCUACAAACACCUUGACCAGAGCCACAGGCCCACCCAUAGCCCACCUUCAUCUCCACACACCCAGCAACCCCAGCUACCCCACCGCACCCCAAUCCGCACACACUCCCCUCCUCCAGUGCCAGGGCCCGAGUCGGAGUCUCCCUCCAGCAAGUCUGACUCAUCCCGGAACAGAGACCGAGACACGGCCAGCCCCAGCUCCGAGCAGAGCAACCGCCACAACCGGUCAACCUACCGCUGGCAUCCAAAGCCACACAGGACCUUGACAGGUGACACAGGCGAACUCCAGGCACUGCAGGAGGAGAAUGCUGAGCUGCACCAGAACCUGAUGCAAACAGUGGUCUGCAUCGAGAGCCUGGAGGCGGAGCUAGCCAGGGCCAGGGAGGAGCUUAGCCACAUGAAGGAGAAGUUCAAGAGGCUCCAGGACACACACACAGGUACCCAGCACACCAACAGCCUUCUGGGGGAGAAACUGCACUCAGCGGUUCCCUGUCUGAUCAAGGAGCUCCUAGAGAAGCACUUUGACUCUGGAGACACUGUCAAGCAGUUCCUGAAGAACGCCUUGAAAACCGGCCAAUCCACAAGCGACAUCCAAUCACCUGCUACAAAACUGGAGCAGAAGCCAUCUGAUUGGUCAGGUGCAGGACUCAGGGAGUUUGAGGCGGGUCCACAAAAGGUCACUGCUUUUAUGCCCUGGAAGCAGGAGGAGGGGUUUGGGGUGAUAGGUCAGACAGGAAAUGAGGAUUCUCGCCCGAUGAGUCCCCCUUUCUCCGUCGCUGACAUCAGUAUGGCUAUCUAUAAGAAACUAGCUGCCAGCCAAGCGGCAAGACAGCCCCGGCCUUCCAACUACCAACCUCACACUGACACCCCUCCCAACCCCUACCCUCUGGUGGAGUUGGGUACAGGGGGUGCAGGAGGUGCAUGGGAGGAGGGUUACCUUGUGCCUGCUGUCAAGGAGGGCAUGGCAGUUGCAGGGAGAGCAGCUGAGAGUAAGCAGGGUGCUGUUGUUGAUGUGUCCUAUCUGACGGCCCAGAGGGUUCUGGAUGACUUCAUGCACCAGCUGACACACCCAGAGGAUGGGAGCGCAGGUGGGGAGAGGGGGCAUAAGGCCAACGGGGGAGGGGGAACAACUGAAGAGAAGGGGGCAGAGUGAAACGAACCUAUGAAUUGCUGUAAUUGUAACCUUAUAUUACAUAGGCUAGGAUUGUUCAAGAUGUGAUGGUUUGUUUGUGAUGGUUUGAGGCCUGUAGUUCUGCAUUUAUUUAACAUUUUAAUGUCACUAUACAUUUGAGUGAUGGCAUUGUAAAUAUUACAUUCUGUUUCUUUCCCAAAUGUCUUGUGGUGCAGUUGUAAAGAAAGUAUUAGACUUAAACAAUUAAUUGAACUAUAUACAGAAUAUAAUUAUUAAUCCAAAUUUGCAAUGUGAUACAGUCCAUCCUUUUCCUUGUGAAGUGAUGCAGAAUUUAAAUGUUUUGUUAAUGCCUAGACAGUGAGUAGAAUUUUCUAUUUUAUAACAAUGACCGCUAUUUUGUAAGCUCCAGUAAGCCAAUGAAGGAACCUUCAUAUCUGAAUAACAUCGAUCCAGCUGGCAUUAACGUAUUACCCACUGUGUUUUGGGCUAUCAUGUCACAUGACCUAGAGUUUAACCUUUAUUUUAAGCCUUUUCCAGAAAUGAGAACUAUGAAAGCAAUUGUCUGAGGAUGGUGUCGGAGGAUGCUGCUGGACCAUCUGACAUAAAAAGAAAAGGGGACAGUUUGAUGAAAAAAUUUAAAUAAAGGUUCAAAUCCAGGUCUUGUGACAUGACUGUGCAAAACACAGGGCCCUACAUUAACGCUAUGCUGUCCAUCCUAAUGAACUGUCUUAGCUAAAACUGUAUAAAGCUGCUGUCCCCCCC